rnacentral:rRNA from 1 species
GUAAGGAAUAUUGGGCAAUGGAGGCAACUCUGACCCAGCCAUGCCGCGUGAAGGAUUGACGGCCCUCUGGGUUGUAAAUAUCUUUUAUCUGGGAAGAAACUCCUCUAUUCUUAGAGGCCUGACGGUACCAGAGGAAUAAGCACCGGCUAACUCCGUGCCAGCAGCCGCGGUAAUACGGAGGGUGCAAGCGUUAUCCGGAUUCACUGGGUUUAAAGGGUGCGUAGGCGGGUUGAUAAGUCAGUGGUGAAAGCUCCGGGCUUAACUUGGAAACUGCCAUUGAUACUGUCAGUCUUGAAUGUCGUAGAGGUAAGCGGAAUGUUGCAUGUAGCGGUGAAAUGCUUAGAUAUGUUACAGAACACCAAUUGCGAAGGCAGCUUACUAUGCGAUAAUUGACGCUGAGGCACGAAAGCGUGGGGAGCAAACAGGAUUAGAAACCCGUGUAGUCC